GGAAAAGAAAGAAAGGAGAAGAAGAAAAUAUUCUCUCUCUUCUCUUCAUCAGCUUUUGAAGUUUUCGUUUUACUUUUCGUUUUUUUUUUUUUAAAGUGGUUUUUGCUGUUGAAAGAGCUUCGAGAGUUUUAUCUUUCUGGAGUCGAGAAGGAGAGAAGAAGAAGAAGAGGAAGAAAUUCGAGUGGCGUUUUUUUUUUUUUU
rnacentral:ribozyme from 1 species